UACGGAGGGUGCAAACGUUGCUCGGAAUCAUUGGGCGUAAAGCGUGUGUAGGCGGCAUGUUAAGUCGGGUGUGAAAGCCCCGGGCUCAACCCGGGAAGUGCAUUCGAUACUGGCAUGCUUGAGUACGGGAGAGGGUCGCGGAAUUCCCGGUGUAGAGGUGAAAUUCGUAGAUAUCGGGAGGAACACCAGUGGCGAAGGCGGCGACCUGGACCGAUACUGACGCUGAGACACGAAAGCGUGGGGAGCAAACAGG
rnacentral:rRNA from 1 species